UACAAAACGUUAUAAUACCGUAGUUCUAUCAUAAACAUGACCGUGACCAUUACGUAUCUCUUUUCGGUUAUUACACAUGCUUAGAGACUAGCGAACGUUAGUAAUUCAAUUCUCUCCUUGUCGGGUAUAUUCUACAGCCAAUAUUCACGUUCACGAUAAAUCCUCGUUAAUUGAAAUUUAUUUUGACGAAACGAUAAAAUCCGAAGAUCCUUAAAUAUCAAUAUCGUCGUUUGUGAAGUGCGAAGAUCCAAUUUAUCUCACAAAAUAUAACUGAAAAUCACACGAAUAUAAAAAAUUUCUCAAUCUGACGAUAUUUAUGGAAAUUCAUGAACUACAGUGAACGUUAAUUUGGUCAGACUAAUCGUACAUUUAUAUUACGUUAUCAUUAAGUAAUAUAAAUGAUGUUUGACUAAGUCCUUAGAGAAAAAAAUCUACAAAAAAAAUUGUACCAAGUUCUUCAUGAAUAGAACAUAAAAUACCAACAAUGAUAUAUAACUCAAAGGUUAAAAGGGAUACCAAGGAGAAGAAAAAGGAAGAACGACGUCGGUAGGUCCGGUUGAUUUAUUCAAGUGGAGCAACGAAAGGAAAUGAAAAGUAAUCCUGAAUUCGUUGCGAAAUGACGAUGUAAAUGAAUGCGUAAGUUCUCGAAUUAAUAUUUCAAUGACUCGAAAUGAGAAAACACUCGCGUAAUAAUACAAAUAUUAAGGGCAAAUAGAAAGAAAGAUAAAAGAAAAAAAGACAAAGGAACAUGUUUCAUCGAAUAUUCGUAUGAAUUAAUUGUUCUUAUGUCCAAGUAGCAAAUUGAAAAGGACUAAUUUAUACGUGUAAUAAGAAAAACAAACGUAAAUAAUCGUUAGAAUCUAUAUUUAAUAUAUAUAUAUGUGUAUAUGUAUUAAAAAAAAAAACAACAAAGAUUAUCUUUCUUAUCAAGAGGUCGAUCAAAUUUGCCAAUAACAAGAAAUAUAUAUAUAUAUAUAUAUAUAUAUAUAUCCGAUAAAUAGAAAAACAUAAUAGACAAAUUCGUUGAAGGACAAAUGAAAUUAAAUAUUUCCAACUAUAAAAUUUUUCCGUUUUAAUUAUAAGAAUGAUCGUUAUUAUCUGAUGUCCUCGUACGAAGGAUUCUUAAUACUUACAUACAUAUCUACAUUUCUCAAGGGGAAUUAAACAACAAAGAGCUUUAGUAAACAGCGUCGCAAACUUGUCUCAUUCUAAAUAGAUAAUAGAAGACGCACGAUCAAAAACAAAGUCAAAUUUCGUUUCGCAAAUAACAUACUCGUGCUUUGUUAUUCUAUCCGUUCCUUUAGAUUUCCAUACAUAAGUAAUUUGAAACCGGAACGAGAGAUUAAGCAUAAAUUUAGUAGAAUUUUUUAUUCUUUUAAACGAAAUUCAUCGGGUUGCAUUGAUUGUGCAUUUUUCGGGUCAAGGAUCGAAGAAAAAGAUAGAAAAAAAAAAAAGGAAAAAGAGUAGAAAGUACAUACACCAAUUCUUCGUGAUAUAGACGCUACUUUUCUUAGAAAGAAAAAUCUUUACGAUGUAGAAAUCCUUGAUCGAAGGAUCUACUGUUAAGAUCUUUCUCUCUCUCUUGUUCUCCUUCUCUUCCUUCUUCUUCCUUAGCACGAAUAUAGGUAAACAGAACAACCGAAGGUCACAUUUUCCUUUAGAAGAAUAACAAUAGUUCUGGUUUUUGUACAUGAAAUACACAGACCUGUACACAAGAGUACACUAAUCUCUCCUCUCUAUUCUUCUCCGUCUCUCGUCUCCUAUUCUCUUUACUUUAUAUUCAUAAGAUGGCAAAAUUGAGUAAACUAAUUUCUAAAGUCUCUUAGUAAACUUUCUAUUCUAAAAUUUCUUUCUAUUUUAAAAAAUUUUUUUUUAAUAACUAUAAUAAACUAUAAACUAUGGGUUCUAUUUUCUAACGUAUUUAGACCCUCCAUUUGUUAGUGUAACAAUAUUUAAAGAUUUACAGGGUUUUUCACGCUCAAUUUUUAACAUCUCAUCCUGACUUCAAGAUACUCUUAACAACUUUUCGUAAAUUGUUUCCAUUCUGAGUAAGAAAAAAUCCUUUAAAAACGAACGGUAUCCUUUGAUUUAUUAAAAUAUUUAACAAUACAUAACAAUUACCAUAUAUUUAUUAUACUUAUCUUUUUGCUUCUAUUUUCAUUUCUAUUUUUCGUUGUCCUUUUCAUUUUUCUUUUUUUUUUUUACUUUAACUUUUUUAUUACUUCAACGUUUAGUUUCGUUUUCUAGCCAUCCUUAAGACCAAUUUCGUUCAACGAAUUUCUUUCAAGACAUUUGCUAUGUAAAAAAGAACACUUUUAUUAUUAAAAUAUAUAUUAAAGAAUUUCAUCGUAAAAUAAUAAUUUAAUAUAUAAUUUAAUAUAACUUGAUUCGAGUGAUUUACAUUCAAAAAGGAAAAAACCGAAUGGAAACAAUUGCAAAUAUCAAAAGAGUACAAUUUAUAUAAAAGAAUACAAAAAUAUUCUCUCGGCUUUAGUAGGUAUUUUAAGCAGGGUUAUUGAAAUAAGAAAUAUAAAUGAUCGUUUAAUCUCGAAGAAUCUUUACAGAGAGUCACUUUUUCUUACUUACUUAUUUGUUCGUAUAUAAUGACCACUGGUAUUAAAUUUCUGGGAUUAAAGAAACCAAUGUCAGAAAAACAUUAAUCAACCCUUUAGAAAUUCUUAAAGAAUGUUACGGUAAAUCGAAGGAAAGUCAUUUCUUUUUUCUACAUAUAUUGGUCAAAAAAUAUUUUCAUUGUGUGUCAAGAAUUGUCCACCAGAUGUUAUAUUGUCGUUAGAACGAUGUUCCCAUAACGUAUCGAGUCGUAAUGCAAAGAUAUUUGUUCACGUAAAUGUAAACGCAUAAACAUCUUAUUUGCAAACUUCUUUGAUAACGCAGUCGCGUUUUAUUGAUUCGAUAUAUUUCUAUCGUUGACUAACAAAAGUUUCCGAUUAAUUAGGAAUAUAGGAGUAUAAUUGUUGAAUAGUUUGAUUUUUAUAUCGUAAAACAUUUCAACAACAUAACUCUUAAAUCUUAUUUUACCGUGAUCGUGAUCGAUCAGAGGGAAACGUAUUUAUAGUAUAUUGAACGUUUGAUUAAACGAAAAUUUAUUCGAGACUCUAACCUUGCUAUUAAUACUAUCAUUACUAUGAACUUUUCUAACGUUAGAUCAAUGAAUAUUUUUCGAAAUUGACUGGAUAAAAAAAAGCACCAAAAUUGCUAAAUUCGAUUGGAAGUGUUAGAAAGUGUUAGAAAGAAGAUACAAUUAAAUUUAUCCAACUUUUUCUUUCAUAUAUCUAUUUUUCUUUAUCGAGAAUCCAAAUUAGAUGAGGUUUAUGAUUACAUCGGUAUAUAGAUAUUUGCAUAUCGAUCAGCAAUUUAUUGAUAUGCUCUUAUUAUUCAGUACGGUUUAACGUCCGAUAGAAAAAUUGUCCGUGAGUAUUUGCUAUUUUAUAUUAUUUGCCAUGGAUAAUUGUUUUAUUUCCGAUUGAAACGGAUAAAUUAAUGUCGCGAGGAAAUAAACUGGGUAAUCAAUUGAUAACUUCAAAUUGAUCAAGCUUUUGAUUAAUAACGUUAACAAUUCAUUGAUAUUUUUGAUGAUAUUCAUAAGAAAAUAUAAUAGAUAAUGUAUAAUCAAAAACACGGUAUACUAUGAUCUGAUCAUUUUGUUAGAUGAGUCUAUUACUAUAAUUUGUUAAUGACAAAUUUUUGUCUCUGACAAAAUAAAUUGUGUGAAAUAAAGAAGAAGAAAUAUUCAAAAAUUCGAUUUAUUUCGACAAUCAGUAAUCUUUCAAUUAAUCGUGACUCUUUAUAUCAUCGUCGUUUAUUUUUUACUUUCUUGUAUCAUAAAUAGUAUAUCGUAUUAAAUUUCAUUUCAUUGAAGAUAUUAAAUUUGGGUUAAUUUAACAUAAUAAUUAAUAGUUGCCAUUAAUAUAAUUUCUAUUAAUACUAGCACUGUAUUCUUAUUUCAUUCAAUAAUCGAUAAAAUAAAAUGCGGAAUAGAAAUUAACUUGAUAUAAUGAAUUUUAUUGUUUUAUAUAAAUAAUAAAUAUAUACUGGGAUAGUAUAUAUGUAUAUCUUUAUAUAUUUAUGGAUAUAUGAAUAUCAUCUGGAUUUCGAAAAAUCGUUAAUUUAAAGUACACUUAUAUUGAGUCUAAGUUUUGAGCCAAAAUCAAAGUGGUUUCCGAAACACACGUUUUUUUAUUUUUAGUAAAGAAAACGAAGCAUAAACUUACGAUCGAUCGUGAUUCGUAUUGUAAAAAAUAAAAAAAAGAUCAAUUAGUCGGAAAUAAAUAAGGAUUGUGCGUCAACAUUAAAAAUAAAAGAUAAGAAUAAGUAAUUAAUUGCUUGCAUAUAAACAAAAAUUCUGUCAAUAAGAAAACGUCCAAUUGAUUCGAUAAAAGUAAUCGAUCGCCAUCAAAGUUUAACUGAAGGUUCAGUCAUUUUCAUUAUUUCUACGCUAUAUUAUGCUAUAAAAAAUUACAAAUAUUUCAUUUUUCUUCUUCGAAACAAUAAAACAUCUACUUCUAAAAAUAUAUAUAUUUCUAUAUAAUAUUUACAUGUUCUUUUCAUAAUAAAUUCCUUUCAGAAAAAUAUAAUUCUAAAAUAUAAUCUCGUUCUUUAUUUAUAUUAUACUAUAUUUUGUAUAUAUGUAUAUUAUAUCAUUUUUAUAUAAAAAAAAUGUACAAGUACGAAAUCAGAAAGAAUGAUUCUCAGAUAAACAUUUUUUAUCACCAAGGAACUUUACUUUUUUUUUCAUAUAAUUUAUUACAUAUACUUAGAAAUUAAUAUACUAUAGCUCUAGAAAAUUAGAAUUCUGAUUAAUAGAAGUUAUGUUCAAACAGAAAAAGCUCAAGAGUUAAACUCUGCUGUUGCUAUUAGUAAUUAUUAUAGUUGUUAUGUUUUCUUUUUCUAUUAAUACAUUAAAUAUGAAAUAUUGAGAAAAUUUCGUUAGACCACGCCUAUCAUAAGAAGAAUAAAAACGUCAUUUGCAUAUCGAGAUGCAACAAAGAACAACGCUAAAUGUGACUAUAGUUUGAAAAAGUACUAUAAUUAGUUCUUUCGGGAUAUAAUAUAGGUAAAUGUGAUAUAUAUAUAGUUCAGAUCAUAUAGUGUUUUAUCUCAGAAAAUUUAAGAAAAAGAGUAAAAUAGCCGCGAAAACUUGAAAUAUAAUUUAUAAUUAAGAAUUAUAGCUGCUAAUGUUUUUUUCAAUGAUUUAUAUAUUUUCAAUAGAAAAAACCAUGAAAAUUAAACAGUUGAAAAAGAAAUUAUUAGAAUAGUCUCAUCAUUAUUUAUGAUAUCAUUAGCAUAAUAUUGUACUAAUAUAUUAAAUAUAUUAAAAAUAUAUAAUGCAGGGAGGGACGGGGUUAGUACAAAAUAUUAAAAGCAUAUGUACAUUAUGUCAUAUAAAUAAAAGCAUGCUCUCAAAGUCGGUCAAAAGAACGAAAAAAUAAAUAAAAGUAGCAAUAAUUUAUUGUGCAACAGAUACAAAAAUGUUAUAUUUUUUACAACUUUACAUUCUUUUUUAUUUUAAAAUAUAAUGAUAAUAAAUCAUAAUACUGUCUAUAUAAAUAGUGAUUCUAUCAAUUCCUAUUAACUAUUAUUUUAAAUAGAUAUAUUAAUCAUCCAUAACCAAGCAUAACUCGCCAGUUACAUAUAUUCACACGAAUUCUUUAACAUAGCAUUUAAAAGCAUGUAAAGAUUUUUUAAUAUAAAUUUAAUUCUUUUCCAUUAUUACAAUUUUUUACUUUCGCAUAAAUAUGAUAAAAGGGAAAAUAAUGGAAAAUAAACGUGACAAAGUGGAAGAGAAAAAGUUUUUUAACAAAAACGAUUUGUUCGAAGCUUCGAUUUAUAUAAAAAGAAAAAUCGAAAUUGUUGGUGCAUUAAUAUUCACAUUUAUCACAAAUACACGAAUCUUCGAUGCUAUCUACUGUAUGUAGAUUGCCAAACAUUAUAUUACAAUGUGACUAGAAUAAUGUCUUUUAAUUUAAGUCACAUCUAAUAUUGCAAGUGAAUCUCAAAAUAGAUAAUGAUAUUCAAAAUUACCUUUAAAAUAAUAUUUCGAAGGAUCUUCUGUAUAUUUGAGGAUCUUCUGAUUUAUUUUCCAAUUAAUGAUCUUCCAAAUAAUUUUCCAAGGGGUAAAGAUUGUUCUUUCGAAUUUUGACGAUGUUAUGAUGUUGUUUCUUCAUCGGUUUUAUUUUCCUUAGUACUCUAUUGAAGAUCAAGAUUAUACAUUUUCUAUUUUCAUUUUAACAACAUUUGUUCUUGUUGAGGCAGCCCUUUUUGAUCACUUAUGAUAUCGUUGCUACACGAAAAUGAUACCCUGGGAUACUAAUGUUUUUAGGAUUUGUUAAAUUUAUGGUAACUGAUCUGGUAACGCAAAAUCGGUAUAAUUUCUGCAAUAUAUAAUGACCAUGGAUCGAUCUGUAACAUUAAAAUCGUCAAUCAUCCUGUCCAUUGAUAUUCUAACAUAUUAUAUCAGUGAGAUAUAAUACAUAGUCAAAAUAAAUAAAAUAGCAGGAAGAUCCUAAAGUAGAAUACUUCGAAGGAAAUUAUCGUUUUUUACACGUGUUAUUUGGUUCCAAAUAUCACAUUUUAAUAAUUCCUUUCUGCUAAUUCUCCACUACUAAUCUCUUUCUUAGUCCAUUAUCGAUAUCAUAUUUAUCGACAAUUGGUAGCCGAUUAUGUAAACCAUGGACAUUCAAUAUCAUCCCGGUAAACGAGUACUUAUUA